UACAGAGGGUGCGAGCGUUAAUCGGAAUUACUGGGCGUAAAGGGUGCGUAGGUGGCUUAUUAAGUCAGAUGUGAAAUCCCCGGGCUUAACCUGGGAAUUGCAUUUGAUACUGGUUAGCUAGGGAGUGGAAGAGGGAAGUGGAAUUUCCGGUGUAGCGGUGAAAUGCGUAGAUAUCGGAAGGAACAUCAGUGGCGAAGGCGACUUCCUGGUCCAUAUCUGACACUGAGGCACGAAAGCGUGGGGAGCAAACAGGAUUAGAUACCCCGGUAGU
rnacentral:rRNA from 1 species